rnacentral:rRNA from 1 species
GAUCAUGGCUCAGAUUGAACGCUGGCGGCAUGCCUUACACAUGCAAGUCGAACGGCAGCAUGGAGAGCUUGCUCUCUGAUGGCGAGUGGCGAACGGGUGAGUAAUACAUCGGGACGUGUCCGUUUGUGGGGGACAACCGUCCGAAAGGAUGGCCAAUACCGCAUGAGACCUGAGGGUGAAAGCCGGGGACCGCAAGGCCCGGCGCAGACGGAGCGGCCGAUGAUUGA